rnacentral:rRNA from 1 species
CACGGGGGGACUCCUACGGGAGGCAGCAGUGAGGAAUUUUCCGCAAUGGGCGCAAGCCUGACGGAGCAAUGCCGCGUGAAGGAAGAAGGCCCGUGGGUUGUAAACUUCUUUUCUUAGAGAAGAAUCCGAGAGGAGGACGGUAUUUGAGGAAUAAGCAUCGGCUAACCCUGUGCCAGCAGCCGCGGUAAUACAGAGGAUGCAAGCGUUAUCCGGAAUGAUUGGGCGUAAAGGGUCUGUAGGUGGUUUCGACAGUCUGCUGUUAAAUCUCAGGGCUCAACCCUGUUAAGGCAGCAUGAAACUACGAAUCUUGAGUACGGUAGGGGCAGAGGGAAUUCCCGGUGGAGUGGUGAAAUACGUAGAUCUCGGGAAGAACACCAAAGGCGAAAGCACUCUGCUGGGCCGAGACUGACACUGACGGACGAAAGCUAGGGGAGCGAAAGGGAUUAGAUACCCCUGUAGUCCUAACCGUAAACGAUGGACACUAAGUGUUGGGUGGCUGAGUUGUAAACGGGCUGUUAGAUUACAGGAUCGUCGCUUAGAGAAANCAUCCCAGUNCUAAAGCUAACC